rnacentral:lncRNA from 1 species
CACGGUCUCCCUCUCCCCACGGUCUUCCUCUCCCUCUCUUUCCACGGUCUCCCUCUGAUGCCGAGCCGAAGCUGGACUGUACUGCUGCCAUCUCGUUUCACUGCAACCUCCCUGCCUGAUUCUCCUGCCUCAGCCUGCCGAGUGCCUGCGAUUGCAGGCGCGCGCCGCCACGCCUGACUGGCUUUUCGUAUUUUUUUGGUGGAGACGGGGUUUCGCUGUGUUGGCCGGGCUGGUCUCCAGCUCCUAACCGCGAGUGAUCGCCAGCCUCGGCCUCCCGAGGUGCCGGGAUUGCAGACGGAGUCUCGUUCACUCAGUGCUCAAUGGCGCCCAGGCUGGAGUGCAGUGGCGUCAUCUCGGCUCGCUACAACCUCCACCUCCCAGCCGCCUGCCUUUGCCUCCCAAAGUGCCGAGAUUGCAGCCUCUGCCCGGCCGCCACCCCGUCUGGGAAGUGAGGAGCGUCUCUGCCUGGCCGCCCAUCGUCUGAGAUGUGGGGAGCACCUCUGCCCCGCCUCCCCAUCUGGGAUGUGAGGAGCGCCUCUGCCCGGCCGCCAUCCCAUCUAGGAAGUGAGGAGCGUCUCUGCCCCGCCGCCCAUCGUCUGAGAUGUGGGGAGCACCUCUGCCCCGCCUCCCCAUCUGGGAUGUGAGGAGCGCCUCUGCCCGGCCGCGACCCCAUCUGGGAGAGUCGCGAAAACUGGAGUGGAGUGGCGCGAUCUUGGCUCACUGCAACCUCUGCUUCCCAGCUUCAAGCAAUUCUUCUGCCUCAGCCUCCCAAGUCGCUGGGAUUACAGGCGCCCACCACACCCAGCUAAUUUUGUUGUUGUUAUUGUUGUUUGUCUCGCUCUGUCGCCCAGGCUGGAGUGUAGUGGCGCGAUCUCCGCUCACUGCAAGCUCCGCCUCCCGGAUUCAUGCCAUUCUCUAGCCUCCUGCCUCAGCCUCCCGAGUAGCUGGGACUACUGGCGCCUGCCACCACGCCCGGCUAAUUUUUUGUAUUUUUCAUAGAGAUGGGGUUUCACCAUGUUAGCCAGGAUGGUCUCGAUCUCCUGACCUCAUGAUCUGCCUGCCUCGGCCUCUCAAAGUGCUGGGAUUACAGGCGUGAGCCACCGCGCCCGGCCUAAUUUUUGUGUUUUUAGUAGAGAUGGGGUUUUGUCAUGUUGGCCAGGCUGGUUUCGAACUCCUGACCCCAGGUAAUCUGCCCAUCUCGGUCUCCCAAAGUGCUGGGAUUACAGGCGUGAGCUACCGUGUCCAGGCUUUUUUAGAUAUUAAGAUUGUCUUUGCCCAACCCAGCUUAUUUCUUGGAGACACAUUGCUGGUCAGCCAAUCAGAUGCUGCCAUUGAGGGUGAAGCACAGAAAUAAUUUCUGCCACCUGUAUUCUCUAAGAUUUGUGAAAGAAAAAGUAGUAUCCCCAAAGACAAAAAACCCAAACAUGACCCCAGUGAAAUGGUGCAAGAACUUGCAAAGUAAAAAGCAUCUGGGGCACUCACUGAGGCAUAGGGCAGUGUCUCCUGAGAGGGUGGUCUUUGAGAACUUAAAUAAGUAGGAUGGGGUGGGAGAAUCUUUCAAGUGAUUAGAUGGCCUGAUUUGACACGUGAGUCAGACACAUUUGUUUUCUCAUCAGUACUGCCACU